rnacentral:rRNA from 1 species
UACGUAGGGGGCGAGCGUUGUCCGGAGUUACUGGGCGUAAAGCGCACGCAGGCGGUUUGUUAAGUCAGAUGUGAAAUCCCCGAGCUUAACUUGGGAACUGCAUUUGAAACUGGCAAGCUAGAGUCUUGUAGAGGGGGGUAGAAUUCCAGGUGUAGCGGUGAAAUGCGUAGAGAUCUGGAGGAAUACCGGUGGCGAAGGCGGCCCCCUGGACAAAGACUGACGCUCAGGUGCGAAAGCGUGGGGAGCAAACAGG